rnacentral:rRNA from 1 species
ACGGGGCGCAGCAGGCGCGAAAACUUUGCAAUACACGAAAGUGUGACAAGGGGACUCCAAGUGUGCAUAUACCAUAUGCACUUUUUCGAAGUGCAAAAAGCUUUGGGAAUAAGGGGUGGGCAAGACUAGUGCCAGCCGCCGCGGUAAAACUAGCAUCCCAAGUGGCAGUCACCUUUACUGGGCUUAGAGCGUCCGUAGCUCGUCCGGAAAGUCCCUGGUGAAAUCCUAUGGCUUAACCAUAGGGCUUGCCAGGGAGACUCCUGGACUUGAAGGCAGGAGAGGUCGGGGGUACGUCCGGGGUAGGUGUGAAAUCCUAUAAUCCUAGACGGACCAACAGUGGCGAAGGCGCCCGACAUGAAUGCGCUUGACAGUGAGGGACGAGAGCCAGGGUCGCGAAACGGAUUAGAUACCCGUGUAGUCCUGGCCGUAAACGAUGUUGACUAGGUGGGGCGUGACCUUAGCGGUCAUGCUAUGCCGAAGGGAAACCGUUAAGUCAACCGCCCUGGGGAGUACGACCGCAAGGUUGAAACUUAGAGGAAUUGGCGGGGGAGCAC